rnacentral:lncRNA from 1 species
UGGCUCCUGUGCAGUUAUUAAACUGCACUGGAGUUGUGUGUGAAGAUGAGUUGCACUUAUGUGCAGGACUACAUGAACCUGGCAGUGAGUUAAGUUACUAACUUACACUGCAGCUGGCAGCAGCCAUGAGCCAGUACUCAGGAGAUGGACCGAAACAACACCCAGCUCGGUGAACUCCGGCUCUCCUGCUGUUAUCCGUAGCGAUUAAGGAG